ACUGGGCUGGCUCAGUCGGUAAAGCAUGUGACUCUGAAUCUCAGGGCCAUGAGUUCAAGCCCCAUGUUAGAUG
rnacentral:tRNA from 1 species